rnacentral:rRNA from 1 species
GGUGGAAGCACAGCAAUGUGUGGAGCUGACGAAUACUAAUCGGUCGAGGGCUUAUCCUA